CCCGUGUUCCGCAACCUCUUCUGUUCGCACGGUUUUACCGAACACUGCCUUUGCUUUUAUGCGGCACCUUGUAGCCUCCGAAACUCAGUGCCCCCGGGGCUAGGGAGGGCUGUCCCAGCUUCGGGGCGCAGGGAGCUGGGCUGCUCUGCGCUCAUCCGCCCACUGGCUUCUUCCAGAUCUAAGCAUUGUGCAUCCUUGGGGAUCAAGACGGGGAGGAAGCCAGCCACUCUGCACCUCUGCCAAGCUGUCUCAGAUCUAAAGGUGCUGGGGCGGGGGGGACCGUUUUCAACGGAGCCCAGAGUCCUGGAGACUGGGUACGUGUAGCCGGGAGAGACUCGUUUCCAAGGCCAGUGAUCUGCUUCUUAUUGCAUGCAGAAGUCAGACUUCCUCCUGAUAGUGCUCCAUUAUAACCGCGGGAACAAGAAAGAGCCCGGGAAAGCUGGCUGCAGAUUUGCAUGCUGAGGCAGAAGGAGCCAGAGUCCACAGCAAGCCCAAACUACAAAACUAGACCCUGUCUUACAAAGCUGAAGGCUGGUGUCCAGCUCAGCAGUGGAGCAACUGUCUAGUACG